GACUUCCAAAGCUAUUUGCAAAAAUAAAUGUAUUUACAAAGUCUGUUCUUAAAAUAAACAUGACCCUAAGUGGCUCCAGCUAUUCUAAAGCUAAGGCUCUUCCAGUCACUUGAAUUGGGUCCUUCUCCUGCAACAUUUGGCCUUUUCUUUCUUUUCUUUUUUUGAUAAAAAAUAUGGAAUGCUUCACGAAUUUGUGUGCCAUCCUUGCGCGGGGGCCACGCUAAUCUUCUCUAUGCCAAAAAUAUGGAAGGCUUC